UCCAGCACGUUGUACAGCGAAACGGCCCCAGAAGCCCCUCUCCGAGGCGCGAGUUCGGUUUGGUUCUGGCAGGGGCUUUGCAGCUGUCCGGAAGGUGAAGUCAGCCUUGUGUCCUGAGGAGAAACUGGAGAUGCAGGUCGCUGUGCCCUCCCGCUGCUACGUCGCUGCGCCGGAUCCUGCCAUCCUUCCGCAAGGGGUGAGAGCGGGAACAGCCCUGCCCUGCCUUCCAGGUAUUAUCUAGCCUGGAGGCUGGAGCGCAAGGUAACGCUCCGGGAAGUGGCACUCGGGUCCCCGCACACGGGCGAGUCCUCAGCAGUUCAGUGGACAGACCCGCAGGACGCGGCUGCCAAGUCCGCGAGGCAAGGACCAGGCAUCUUCCCGCGCCUCACUCCAGCCUGCGGACUGUGACUUUCCAUCCCAGUAUCAGACAAGCUCGCGAGUAACUGAACAUCCUUUCCAGUCCAUGGGUGGGGUGUGGAAAGGGCGUAAAACUCCAAAGUGGCUCCUCCGCGGUGAGCGAGCUGCCCCGGGGCUCUGCCUGACUGCAGCGCGAAGCCUGGGAGAACAAACCCAGUUCCCUCCGUCAAGAAAUUUCCAUUUAAGUCCGAGAAAGUCAUAUGAUUGAGAAGUUCAGCAGCGGCGGCGAGGACCCAGUGUCUGGGAAAGAACACCUGGAGGAUGGGGUGUCCAGGACGCCGGCUUUUCGGGGUUCCGACCCCACCCACCUUAUGUUGUAACAUACAAGCUUAGAGACCUGUUGCAAGGAACAACUGACUGGGUCUUCCACCACCCCUGGCACCCGGGUGGCCCAAAGCCUAUGCGCCCUUGGCGGAGAGAGAGGCCACGGUGCCACUGGCCGCAGCCUCUGGCCUUCAGAAACAGUGUAUUACAAAGAAAAGGCAGUUUAAAUCUCACAUUCAGCAUAGGGAAAACUGAAGGGUGCCAGGCUCGGGGACUUCUUCCAACAGAGUGGCUCUUCCCCAAAUAUGAAAGAAAAUCAUCAAAUUAAAUUGAAGGCAAAACUAAGCUUCCACCACAAAGACAUAGCAGAUAGUUGCAAGGUGGAUUCCUUCGGGCCUUUUCCUUUCCUAAGGCUAAAACAAUGCUAAGACAAAAGUCUUCUUGCAGCUGUCUCCGCCCCUCCGAGAUAAAUACUUUCCCAAUUCUCCCCCACCCUGUACACACACCCACGCCCGCGGCAGCUGAUUUCUGUCUUCUGCAAUAGCUCGAUUUAAAUGCUUUGCUUUUACUCUUUAUUAUCACUAUUAUUUGUGUGAAGCCCUCUCGCCUGCUCCUGGUCACCAGCAGGAGCCUGCUUCCCUCCCUCCUUCCCCCCAAGCCUCUGGGCAGCAGAAGCUAGCUGGGAGCUCUGUGCAGCUGGCGGCGACGCCAUGUGACUGUGAGCCGAGCACCAUCACCCAGAGUCACUCUCUAGCUUUCCCCUAAUACACUUCACACCCACGCACUGUGGAGGUGCGAGAGAGGUUGCUCCGUGCGGUGCUAUUCGAGGCAGAUGCAGAGAGCGCCCUGGAGUAAGCUCUCCAAUCCUAGAGCUGCGCGGGACCCUGACUGAAGGCGGAGGGGGCGGGAGGGGGUGCUGUUGCUAUAUUUAGACUCCCUAUGGAGUUUCUGUGCAGGGACUUUCAGGGUGAAAGAUCUAGAGACUUAAAAUGACUCGUGUGCCCGCUUUAAACGUCAAAAUCUUGGCCUUUCUGCAAGCAGUAAAAUGAAAACCACUUCCUCUUAACUUAGCUGUUUUCCUUGUUGCAGACUGCUACUUUCGCUGGCAGAAAUUAAUCAGAGAACCCAGGACAACGUCAGAGAUCAUAUGAGCCUCACCAGACUGCAUGAGAGUCAUAACACAGUAGGAGUCCCAGGCCUACCUCACAUGGCAAAUGGGACAGUGUUCUUCAGAACAACCUCUGCCCCAGGGAUGCAGAAAGGAGGGUUUCACUAUGUUGGCCAGUCUGGUGUUGAACUCCUCACCUCAAAUGAUCUGCCCACCUUGGCCUCCCAAAGCGUUGGAGUUACAGACGUGAGCCACCGCGCCCAGCUGGAGAAGAUGUGAAAUUUUGAGAGCUGACCAUACUUUGAGAAUAAUAAGUAGUUGGAUUCUACUGAAGCCCAGUGGCUUUUGGAGGUGUAGCAAUAAGCAGGAGGCAGCAGAAGUAAGACAAGGGCUGUAUGACAAAGUCUUGGCAAGAACUUUGAAUUUUAUCCUGAUGUGAGUGGGGAGAGCCACUGAAGAACGUGAAGCCAGAAACACUACAUGUUACUACUUCUACUUUCAGAAAAGGCUUAAUAUGGAUUAUACACCUACAAGUGGCACACACUGUUCCAAGUGGAGACUCAAAGAUGAUAACGAUACAGUGUUUAUGCUAUAGGUUUGUGAAGCUACCAAUCCAUGGACAGAUGUUAAACCUAACUUCCAAUUUCAGGUACAAAUAUCUGAGUAAAUGAUGGUAUCAUUUACUCAAUCAGUAAAGGUCAAAGAGAAGGCAGUCUGAAGAAGGGAAAGGUGUUCAAUUUUGCAUUGAGUUUGACAUACCUGUUGAGACAGCUCAGUGGAGAUAUCCAGUUGAUGCUUGGAUAUAUGGACUUACAGCUCAGGGGGAGCUAGAAAUUGAAAUUUGAGAAUCAUCAACCUAUAUUUAUAAUGGGUGAAAUCAAUAAGUCGGAAUCAAAUUACCUGGGGAAGCAUGCAGAUUUGUUUAAAAAGGAAGAGGCCUGAGAACCCAACCCUGGUAAGCAUGACCAUUCAGGAUAAGAGAGAAGGAGCAAGUAGGGAAAGAGACUGAAAUAAAGAAACCUGAGUAACCACUGAGGACCACUGCUACAAUAGAGAAAAAGGAACUUCAUUAGGGAAAUGCCUGAAAGCGAAUAAGGUAAGGAUUUUGGAUUUAGCAACAAAGAGGUCAUUUGAAGAAGUUGUUUUUAUUUUUAUUUCCUUGCAGAAUUGUAGAAAUAGAAAUCAAAUCAGAGUGAGCAGAGAAACAAUUUGAAGAUAAGGGAAUGGAGAUAAUUAUUUUAAAGUGGGAGAAGCAAGCAGAAGAUUUAGGUUUGAAGAAGGCACUAUACAAAAUAAUGUUGAUUCACUUGAGACUUGAGUGGCUGUUACAGCCACUCUCACAGGUCCCGAGGCUGAGCCUGCACAGGUGUUUCGACAACUAAGCUGCAAUUUUGACAGACACUAUUUCACUGUCAAUUGUGCGGCCUGCAACAACUUGGACAUCUUUUAUUGAUUUUAUUGAGUACUUUAAUAACAUUUUAAUAAAAGCCAUUAUAUUUUAUUUCUAACAUUU
rnacentral:lncRNA from 10 species